GAUGAACGCUGGCGGCGUGCUUAACACAUGCAAGUCGAACGGAAAGGCCCAAGCUUGCUUGGGUACUCGAGUGGCGAACGGGUGAGUAACACGUGGGUGAUCUGCCCUGCACUUCGGGAUAAGCCUGGGAAACUGGGUCUAAUACCGGAUAGGACCACUUCUUGGAUGUUGUGGUGGAAAGUUUUUUCGGUGUGGGAUGAGCUCGCGGCCUAUCAGCUUGUUGGUGGGGUAAUGGCCUACCAAGGCGUCGACGGGUAGCCGGCCUGGGAGGGUGUACGGCCACAAUGGGACUGAGGUUCGGCCCCGACUCCUACGGGGGGCAGCAGUGGGGAAUAUUGCCCCAUGGGCGCAAGCCUGAUGCAGCGACGCCGCGUGGGGGAUUACGGCCUUCGGGUUGGAAACUCCUUUCGCUAGGGACGAAGCGUUUUGUGACGGUACCUGGAGAAGAAGCACCGGCUAACUACGUG
rnacentral:rRNA from 1 species